GGAUGUGAGGGCAAUCUGGCUGUGACAUGUGUCACCUCAUUGAUUGCCAGAGUUGAUUUGGCUGAUCUGGCUGGCUAGCUGGGUAUCUCCAUCCUCCCUCACUGCUUCAUGUGCGUCUCCCUCGAAGCUGCAUGCCUGGUCAAGGAGGAUGACCUUCCCCAGUAGAGGAGGACUGUUUCUUGGUCAUGGGUAUACAAAUACCUGUGCUCCCCUGCUAGAACUUCCAAACAAGCUCUCAACGUCCUUUUUAAGGAGAACAUAGGGCAGUCAAGCUUCCAAGACUCCAGACACAUCCAAACAAAGCGAUACAUGUGGCAGUCGCCUUUCUUU
rnacentral:snRNA from 2 species